CUGCUCUGCGGUUUCUUCUUGUCCCCUUCACCCGAUGGAUUCGAAGACGGAGUCUGGUUAUUCAAGCUGCUCUGAGGUUUCUUGCUGUUCCCUUCACUUGCCUUGUCCUCCAUCCGAUGGUGGCGAACUUUGGUAGACUUUAAGCUCAUUGGAACAAUACAAUGGCAAACGAAACCUACACACACCAACAAUUACCAAGUUAAUAAAUUUCUCAUAUCAACAAGUUGCAGAACACUAACUAUUCAAACUUGAGAACUUUAUAACCCCUUCAAUGACUGCAACAAGCUCAUGUUGAAGAUUCCUAUCGUGUUAAAGGCUACGAAAAACUUUCAACGCAGCCACUGAACUCGGUAGGAAUCUUCUGCAAUGACUGCAAAAAAUCAUUGCCAAGAACAAACAUUGAGACUUCUAUGAAACUACCCAGAAGCUUCCUGAUUCAACAUGUCUAGAAAACAAGGUACUCUCUCCGUCCCAAUUUAUGUAACACUUAACUAUUCAAAGUGUUUGAAUUUUGACCAAACAUUUUAAAAUGUAUUUUCCGAAUAUUCAAGCAUGUGAAACAAUAAAUCUGACUGAAAAUCUUACCAA